rnacentral:sRNA from 1 species
UCCUCCUGCUGCGGACUGAUGAAGUGGAUAUGGACGUCGAGCCCGCCCGCCGUGAUAAUUGAACCUUCGCCGGCAAUAAUUUCGGUUGCCGCGCCGAUGGCCAUCGUGAUGUCAGGCUGGAUAUCCGGGUUUCCCGCUUUGCCUAUUGCCGCGAUCUUGCCAUCCUUUAGACCAAUAUCCGCCUUGACUAUGCCCCAGUGGUCUACAAUGACCGCGUUGGUAAUUACGGUAUCCAUUACAUCAGCAUGACUGCGCUGUGAUUGACCCAUCCCGUCGCGGA